GACCACUCUUUUGGAGGAAGCUGGCAGCCAUUUCAUGAGGAGACUCAAGCAGCCUAGGAGAGGUGGCAGUGGUGAAGAACUGAGGCUUCCUGCUGUCAGCUAGUGAGGAACUGAGGCCUCUUCACACACGGAUGUGAGUGAACUACCCAGGAGAUGUGUCCUCCAGCCCCAGGCCUUCAGAGGACCGCAGCUCUCGUCAAAAGCUUAAUGCAACCUCCUGAGAGUCCCUGAACUACAGCCAUCCUGCUAAGCUACUCCCAAAUGCCUGACCCCCAGAAACUGUAAUCAGAAAGUAAACCAAAACCAAGACCCAUCCACAUGGCCGUGAACCACCCCCAAGCCACCAAUGGCAGCCCUGACGCAUACCUUGCUUGAUGACGGGUGGCUUGCGGGCGUCGUCCACCACGAACGAGAACAUCUCCUUGUUGGCGCUCACAGGCCGCCUGUGGGAGGCCGGCAGGACCACGGUGGGUCUGGGAAAGGCCUGGGACCAGCUCCUUUGCAUCGGUGCUGGCUGGACACCUUGGUGGAAGGGGAUAUGUGAUGGUGGGGGGGCCUGGUUUGGCUGCUGUGUGGCACGAGGUGGCUGUGGCCCUGGCCAUGGUGCUGGGCCCCUCAUCCAUGGGAAAGAGACCUGCAGGGGCAGACAAGGGUCAGGGGAGGUUAUGACCGGCUGGGAUGGUCUCCAUUUCUUUGUCCCAGCCACAGCAUUGCUGCCCAAGGUCUUGGUUUAUGAGUCACUUCCGGUCGGGCAGGGUGGCACACAGCUAUAAUCCCAACACUUUGGGAGGCCAAAGUGGGAGGCUAGCUAGCUUGAGUUCAGGAGUUCAAGACCAGCCUGGACAACAUGGCAAAACCCUGCCUCACCAAAAAUUCAAAAAUUAGCUGGGCCUUGUGGCCUAUGCCUGUAGUCCCAGCUACUUGAGAGGCUGAGGUGGGAGGAUCACCUGAGCCUAGGAAGUAGAGGCUGCAGUGAGCUGUGAUAGCACCACUGCACUCCAUCCUGGGCGACAGAAUGAGACUCUGUCUCAAAAAUAAACAAACAAAAAAACAAUGAGUCACUUCCCCCAGGAAGCCUUCCUGGACUCUCCUCAAGUUUGGGAUGGGGGUCCUUGCCUGGACCACACGGCACACGAUCACACCACCAUUGAGUGAGUGCAUGCUUUACCCAGGCAUCUUGCCGAAAGAGUCACCUGCAUUAACUCAUUUAAUACACUCAACACUCUGUGAUAUCAACACUCGGAGGACACAGGCCAGGCAAGAACAAGGGACUCUGAACACCCACAGACGUGGUAUUGAUCUGCUGAGUCAGGAGAAUGUCCCCUCUAAGGGAUUAGGGACUUUUCAUCUACCUUACCACUGUAUCCUCAGCCCCUAGAAUAAAUGCUUGGCACAUACCUAGUAGGUCCUCAAAUGUUGGUCAAAAUAACAGAACAAGCCAAUCACUGAGAUUCCAGCCCAGCUCCCUGGGACUCCACAGCCUUUUCUCUUUCUGUCCAUACUGUGGGUCCCUCUAUCCCUCAAAGUUCAGAGCUCUGGGAUUGCAGGGACACUGACUGUCUGAUUAGCCUUUGCUUUUCCACACCAGCACAGCUGAUUCUGGCAGAGGCCCCGGGGAAGAUGCUCCAGCUGCUUUCAGUGGAGAGCAUGUCAAAAUCCAUCUAACCGUGGAUGAGCAAACGUGGAGUGGUGCUGACACCUGGCUUUUGCCGUGGAUUAAUGCUUUAGUGGUGGUUUCUCCCUGGUGCCUAGUGGUUGAAGGUGGCACUGAUGAGCACUAUCACUUAUUGCACCGAGCUUAUUGAUUCCUCACCAUGACCCUUUGUGUGAGGGUUCUCCUUAUUCCUGUUAGAAGUGAGGCUUGGAGAGGUUAAGGGAUUUACCCAGCACAGGCAGUGGUGGACAGGGAACUGGGAUCAAGAUCUGAUGGCCUCUCCUUCUUCUCUCUCUCUCUCUUUCCCCUCCUCUGUCUCCCAAUUGUCUUGGCAGAAAUAAUGCUUUCCAGGUAAGAGCUAAAUUCAAAGGUUUGCUUCCUAGAAUAGAACUCAUCCCUAUUUUCCCAGGGCUCAUGGUUCUCCUUCUGUAGCCCAGAGAGAAGAUGAGCUCAGACACACACAAUGAGGAAAAGGACAGAAUGCUUCCAAAAUCAGAGCUCCAGCAGACAGCACUUCCUAGAACUUCAGCUGGGUUUCAUUGAAAAGGAGGGCUCUCCACUCAGGAUCCUAAUCUCCAAGCUGCAGUCUGUCUACAGCUGCUCAGGGAUCCUAUGCAUUCCCCCUAAGGCUCUUUCUUGGAGUCAGUGAGGAGUGUUCUGGGAAAUCUGGCACCAAACUCCGAUCACCUGGUGAUACAUGGUUUGGCUGUGCCCCACCCAAAUCUCAUCUUGAACUGUAGUUCCCAAAAUCCCCUUAGGACGGACUGGGAGGGACCUGGUGGGAGGUAAUGGAAUCAUGGGGGCAGUUACCUCCAUGCUGCUCUCGUGAUAAUGAGUGACUUCUUGUAAGAUCUGAUGGUUUUAUAAUGGGCUUUCCCCACCCCCUUGCUCUGCACUUCUCCUUGCUGCCGCCAUGUGAGGAAGGACACGUUUGCUUCCCCUUCUGCCAUGAUUGUAAGUUUCCUGAGGCCUCCCCAGCCCUGGGGAACUGUGAGUCAAUUAAACCUGUUCGUUUUUAAAUUA